rnacentral:lncRNA from 1 species
AAUCAGGCAUAAAAGAAGAACGUGUUACCCUCCUUCCUCACGGGUACAAAGGGGUAAAUCCCUAAAUCCCAUUUCACCUCUUAUCUUCUUCUAUGGCAGCGAGGAGCUUCGAGGAACGACGCACCAAUGGCGAGCGGUGAAUGAGGUUCCACCAUGCGACAUAGCCAUCGAUUCGCGUUGCUCUCUCUUUGAUCUCACUCGCGAUGGUCCUCCCCGCAUAAGCUUUUACUCUUUCGUCCUUAACGGUGGUGAAAGGCCACCAUCUCUCCUUAUCUGAGUAGAAUGGUAACUGGCCUUUAUCAUGUAACUCAUGGCUGGUUUGUGUGAAUGCUUUGGAAUAAUUAUUAUUUACUUAAGUGUAUGUGUAACCAGAAGAGAAUAUGUAUUCUGGUUUGCUGCUUUUGAACUACCAUCUGCCUUAUUCAGGGAAUCAUGGUUAUAACUAUCUUCCAAGAGGUAUUUGUAUGCUAGAAGUAUCGAUUGUAUCCAUUGUAUGUACAUUAGUAAGAACUUUUGUGACUGAUUCCCCUAGUUUAAUGUGUCCAUUCAAGAACAAUUCUAUGCAUAUCUUCCUGAUGAGGAUUCUACAAAUCACGUUAUUGUCAUUGUCUUCAUUUGCUGCCAAUCCUCUCUCUCUAGCUGAUGUUAUCUUGGCUGUUUUCUCAUUUGGGUUAAUGCUGGAUUUUUAGGUUCAAGUGCAGACCUGGUAAUGGCUUGUGGGCGUUGGCCAAAGCCAAAAUCAACACUAAAGGGUUUUGGUUAUGGAUCCCUUGCCCCUUCUAUUAAUAAGGAUGUUGUUAUUGCUCUAUUUCUUGUGCUAAUAUAUUCUGUUUGUUUUUGCAGUGGAUGAUUCUAUUUGGUGCUAGACUCAUUGUCCGUUCCAUUUGGUUCACCAUAUCUCUUCGCCUCUUUCAUUAUUUUACAUCAUCAUUAAUUGUUGGUACCAAAGAGCAACACAAGCUUCAGAUGCGAAAUCCCAGUGUCCAGGUGAG